GGUUGCGAUCAUACCAGAACUAAUGCACCGGAUCCCAUCAGAACUCCGCAGUUAAGCGUGCUUGGGCGAGAGUAGUACUAGGAUGGGUGACCCCCUGGGAAGUCCUCGUGUUGCAACCCC
rnacentral:rRNA from 1 species